CAGGCUCUGCAGUGGGAACGGA
rnacentral:miRNA from 1 species